rnacentral:rRNA from 1 species
CAAUAGCGUAUAUUAAAGUUGUUGCAGUUAAAAAGCUCGUAGUUGGAUUUGUGGUGUACUUUGGCGGCCCGUCACUAUGUGAUGGAGCUUGCUGAAGUCGCCAUCCUUGGGUGGAUCCUGUGUGACAUUAAGUUGUCGUGCAGGGGAUGCCCAUCGUUUACUGUGAAAAAAUUAGAGUGUUCAAAGCGGGCUUACGCUUGAAUAUUUCAGCAUGGAAUAACACUAUAGGACUCCUGUCCUAUUUCGUUGGUUUCGGGACGGGAGUAAUGAUUAAGAGGAACAGUUGGGGGCAUUCGUAUUUCAUUGUCGGAGGUGAAAUUCUUGGAUUUAUGAAAGACGAACUUCUGCGAAAGCAUUUGCCAAGGAUGUUUUCAUUAA